GGAUAGGGAGGCACGUGCCCCCCCCAAAUAUUUUGUUUUAUUUUAUUAUUCAGUGUCGGUUUAGCCUUUUAUUUGUCUACAAUAUUUAUUUUUUCAUAUUAUAAGCGGAGCCUCACAAAAUGGGAUCAGUAAAACUAACAAACAAUGAUAAAAUAUAAUAAGAUCGUAAUCCUGAAGACCGCACAUUUAAUGGAUGGGCCUCUGUGCAAAUAAUUAGGUAGGUAUCUAUAUUAUAAUGAAUAGGUGCAUUUUAGAUAAAUACUUUGAUACCCAUAUGCCGUAAUUUUUGGGGCCUUUUGCAAAACAACCAUUAAACAUAAUGUAUUUAAUGAAGUCAUCGUAGAUAGUGAAGAUGAAAAACAAUUAAAUUAGAUAAUAAAUAUAAGACAUGUGCUUAUAUUAUAAUUCAAGAACUCUCAUUUCAUUCAAAUUCGUUUCAUAAUUUAUUAACAAUGUAUAUAUAUAUAUACAUUAUAUAAUAAUAUAUAUAUAUAUAUAUUAUGUUAUUAUUGUUAUACUUUACUCAAGUGAUUUGUGAAAGGGCAUUUGCUAAACUAAAACUUGUGAAGUCCAAAAUCAAAUCGACAAUUAGUCAACAACAUUUAUCAUCUUUAAUGCUUAUUGAAAUUGGAUUAGAUAUCGAGUUACAGAACACGGAAAUAAUUGACACUAUAGCCAAAUCAUCUAAACUUUUACAAGAAUAACUAAUUUAAUAAUAUAGUGAUUAGUACUAACAAUUUGUUAUUAAAUAAUAAAAUGAACAUAAAAGAUAUCUAACAAUGAUGCUUUUGUUAUUAAUUUCUUCGAAAAUGAAAAUAUUAUAUUUGUUUAACUACUCCUUUUUAGUAUGAUUCUCAGAGAUUCUGAGUGUAGCGAGGGAUCAUUUGGUUUUACUAUACUGUGUUUUUGUUUAGUGUCUAUCCUUCUUUCUACCAGAAAUCUUAUUCUAAUCAAAAAAUGACAAGAGAUCUUUUUUGUUAUACUUUGAAUCUAGUUAGUGAUUCAAAAAGUAAUUUUUUGAUUUUCCAAGCAGAUUUAAAAAUAAUUGGGAAAAACGAAAAAAAAAACAUAUAGAAAUACUGCACUGUCUAAUAAUAUCAGAUUUUUAAAUCUGUACAGUAAAUACUUGUGAGUUACAUUACUAUAUUAAUUAAUAACGUUCGUAUCGAUGUGUCAUGUUAGUAAAAUAUGGAUAUUAAUUUGUAACAAAACUAUAUAAUAUGCGAUCGACUAUACUGCAGUCACAGGUGAGAGACAAGAGACUAUACUUACGAAAACCGCAGGUGCAACUGCAGGUGAAAAGUGGUUUUUUCCUCAAUGCGUGUUUGUAACUGUUCGUAUAGAAUUUUAAUGUGUAUCGUUAAUGAUAAUUAAUUUUUUGUCGCUUUGUUUUAAAUAACGGUAUUAUAUAGUAUAAUAUUCAUGUUAAAACUCCAAAGUACUUUAUUUAGUCAUAAUUAUUUCUAAUCAUAUUUAUUUUAGAUGACACAAGUUUUCGUUGUAUUCUCGGUCAUUGGUCAGCCAUUACAUUACGACGGCAGUGAUAACGUUUAUUACAUUUCGCGUAUACUUGAGACAUUGACAUUCGGGAACCUAUGGCCAAUUGUUUCUCUGUUCCAGUUUUUCCAGAAACCACCCUCCACCUACCCGUAUGUAACGGAAUGAUAAAAAAAAAUCGACGGUACUUGCCUAUAAUAUAAUAGUUAUGUAUCUAUAAGUUGGUUAUACGAAU
rnacentral:lncRNA from 1 species